rnacentral:rRNA from 1 species
GAUGAACGCUAGCGGCAGGCCUAAUACAUGCAAGCUGAACGGCAAGACGAGUAGCAAUACGAGUCCUAGAGUAGCGUAAGGGUGCGUAACACGUAUGCAAUCUGCCCGCAACAGGAGUAUAGCUCCCCGAAAGGGGAAUUAAUGCUCCAUAGGACCAUUUGAGGGCAUCUGAGGAUGGUUAAACCUGAGGGGGUUGCGGAUGAGCAUGCGCAUGAUUAGCUAGUUGGUGAGGUAACGGCUCACCAAGGCG